GCCUGGCUGGCUCAGUCAGUGGAGCAUUGGACUCUGAAUGUCAGGGUCAUGGGUUCAAGCCCCAUGUUGGGUA
rnacentral:tRNA from 1 species